UACAGAGACUGCGAGCGUUAUUCGGAUUCACUGGGCGUAAAGCGCACGUAGGCGGCUUUGUAAGUUAGAGGUGAAAGCCCAGGGCUUAACCCUGGAAUUGCCUUUAAGACUGCAUCGCUAGAAUCGUGGAGAGGUAAGUGGAAUUCCGAGUGUAGAGGUGAAAUUCGUAGAUAUUCGGAAGAACACCAGUGGCGAAGGCGGCGACCUGGUCCUUGACUGACGCUGAGGCGCGAAAGCGUGGGGAGCGAACAGG
rnacentral:rRNA from 1 species